rnacentral:misc_RNA from 1 species
GUCGGUUGGUACGGUUCAAUAAUACCAUAGUCAUACUUGCAUGUUCAUUGGUGAGGUCCAAACCAUUCUCAAAACUGAUUGGUGUAUACACCGGCUGUCAAAAGAUGUGUGUGUUCAUGUUGUGUACCUCGUUGCCUUUUGUAGUGUGUUGCUAGUGGUUGGUGAUUGUUAUUAAGAAAUUAGCAACUAAAAGUGAUUUUGUGCAUUUUCCUUGUGGAAUUAAUGAAUACCAUUUGUACAAAAUAAUAAUGUAAUCUCUAAGUCACAAGAAAUUUCUAAGUGAAUAAAAUAAUAAAACAAUAUUGUACUUUCUUGUACAACAAUAUAAAAAGGUUUUUGAAGGUUAUCGAUCAGAUCUUAUCAAAAAAGGGAAUUAUACAUUAUAAUUAGCAAAGUAUGUAAGCUUGUCAAUAACUCCUACAAUUUAUUUUGAAUGAAGUAGGCUGUUUUAAAAUUGAUAACAUCUAAGACCAAAGGGUUUAGAAUAUCACAAUUUAAUUUAUUAUGACAAUAAAAUAUAAUUCAGGUAAAUUAGAAACACCUAUUAGGUGGAAUUACAAACAUUAAAAUUAUUGAAUUAUAAUUAAAAAAGGUAAAUUAAUAAGAUCAUGGCUGUUGGUUUAUAGAAAUAAAUGUAUAGAAUUAUAUCUGUUUAUAUAUAAAAUAUGACAUUUGAAUCUAGGGCCUCUCAUAUUUUGGGAACAUAGCCUAUUUAAAAAUAUUUGUCAGGACAACUUUUAGAAACCAUUUUACUUACCAGUGUGCCAUAAAAUGUUUGCUAAGUUAAAACAGUCAUGCAUUUUAUACAAAUUAAAUUAACCUAUGCAUCGUUAUUGAAUGAACAAUUUUAAAAAGUCUCAAACUUCUGAAGUGCUAUAUAUGGUUGAGUAACAUUUUAAACAGAUUCAGGCUUAAAACCAAUUUAAGAAAGUAUUUGAUCUCUGUAUAACAAUUAUUAAUGUUUAGCAGCAAUGUUACCAGUUAAUGUGGCCUAUCCAACAAUUGCUGUGUUUUUGUCUGAGCAUAAGCUGUGAUAUUGACGAAGAGUUUGGAAUGUACAAGAGCGAUGUCUAUGAGCAACGGUAGCCCAAAUUACACUGGAGCAAGUUCUACAACCAUGGGCGUCCCUUACCAAACACGAAUCCCUGCGACAGGAAAUGGGGACAUUUUAGACGAGUGGCCUAAUAGUACAAUCAAUGUGUCAUUAAUAUCUUCAGUGUUCGGUGUAACUUACUGCACUCACUGGGGACCGGUGAAUCACGGUUAUUUCCAACUAGCCAACACCUUCUUUUUCCUUUCUUAUCUUGCGCCAAAUGGAUUGUACGGUAUCUUGUACUUAAGAUGUACUCUAUUAGUGGGCUGUGCUUUUUUCGCCCUUUGGGGAUGGGCAGUGCUAUGUUCGUUUGAUGCAUUUCUGUGGAACGCAAAUUUUGUUGCUAUAAACUUUAUACAUGUGUGCAUUCUGCUGUACCACCUAAGGCCGAUUAAGUUCACAAAAGAAGUUGAAGAGGUGUACCAGGCCCUGUUCAGACCGCUCAAGGUCACCAGGCACCAAUUUAAGAAGGUGCUGGACUGUAUGAAGAUGAUUCGUCAGCUCAAGUACCAAGAGGUCUACGCACAAGAGAAAGUUACCAAAGUCGACAGUUUAUCUUUGGUCCUUUCUGGCAAGCUGGUCGUAUCGCAGAACGGCCGUGCUCUCCACAUCGUGUUCCCCCACCAGUUCCUUGACUCUCCAGAGUGGUUCGGAGUGUCUACCGAUGAGUAUUUUCAGGUGUCGGUGACAGCGAUGGAGGAUUCCCGAGUGCUGUUAUGGCACAGAGAUAAACUCAAGUUGUCCAUCAUCACUGACCAGUUCCUGCAGGCUGUCUUUGACCACAUCCUCGGCCGUGAUGUUGUAAAGAAGCUUAUGCAGAUCACUCUGAGCAUGCACCUUUGAUACGUAGAGUGUGCCAUGAACGUAGCCUAGAAAUGGUUAAUCUGGCCCUUCACAAUCCUGUGUCCUAAUGUUGGCAGCAAACGACCCAAACGCUUGGCGACUGGGGCGCAUUGAAGAGACAGACCACGAGACGCCCGUUUGACUCAAUAGUCUGGGACCCUCUCGGAACCCCUGUCUGAACAAUGUUUCUAAAUUUUGAAUAGAUCUCUGUAUUUAUGUGAAAACCGUGUAAAUUAUACUCAAAGAUGAUAUUUUUACUUUAUUUCAAUUUGUGAUAUAAACGUACUUAAGUUAAUAUAUUUAUGUAUCAGAUGUUUUUCAUGUGUUGGUUUACAAGGUGUAUAUGUUGUACCUGUACGGUGUAUUAUUCUGAUGUGCAAUUUUCUUUCUAUUGAUUGUUGAACAAUCUGUAAAACCUGAUGAGAAUUAGUUCUUAGUAAGAAACAUGACAUGUUGUAUAAUAGCAUGACAGUUGGAAUUCUCUGUUGUACAGACGGAUGUCUACAGGUAAUUAAAACUACUAGCUUCUAAAUAUAAGUGGUUCUUAACUAGCAUGGUUAAAAAAUUAAUUUUCAUUCUUCAUAUUACUGUAAUAUUAUAAUUUGUAGUAAUCCAUUAACAACUUUAAAGUGUAACAAUAGUUGUAUUAGUUAAUGUUAGUUUUGGUUGAUUUAUAAAAUGUUACAACAUUUAAAACUGCUUAUUAUACGGAACUUUUGAUACAUGUAGCAUUAUAAAAAAUUUACAAAAUUUUAUAAGUUACGUUGGGUUUGUGAUUUUUGAUAUGGUGUUUUGUGUAAAGUAAAAGGAAAUAAUGGUUUCAUUUUUCA